rnacentral:lncRNA from 1 species
AUCAGCUGGAUAGGAGUGAGGAGUUGGAGGAAGGGUUGGGGUAUGGCCAGGUGCAGUUAAGUGACUUGCCUUAGUGCACACCCCCAGAAAGUGACAGCACCAGCAUUUGAACCCUGACACAAGCAUCUCCAAAACUGCAUUCUUCCCACUGUGCCACAGUUAAGAUGAGUCCACCAGCCCUGUUUAGGGCUGUGUUCUCCGGAAGCAGGUUCUGAUAUGAAGAUUCCUGUGAAAGACAUGCAUUAGGAAACGUUCCCAGGAUAAAC